GGCGGGGGAACCUCCGGGCCGAAGCGUGGAGAGAAUAGGAAUGCUGAGAUGCCCAAGGCCGUAAAGCUAGGAAGUGGUGGAGCUGAAACUGUUCUGUGAUCUGUGUCCUCCAAAGCCCUUCCUAAGGGGCGCAGUUAACCGGAGGCAAAAACCUCUACAAAGAUCAUCUGAAAGUCUCUGCGCGCUGAGGAGGUCCUGGCUGUGACUAGGACCAGCUUGAAUGCAAGGCAUGGCACACUGAGAAGGUACGGGACCCAAGCAGGGCGGGCGGAAGCAAGCAGCAGCAGCCUGAGGGGUCACCAAGGCCUGCGUGUGGAGCAGGUGAUCAGGGAGAGGUCUGCGGAGGGGCACGGUCCCCACACGCCCCGUGGGCGUCCUCGUGUGCAUCCUGGAUUCUGCCGCGCCAGCCGCGCCAGAAGAGUGUUGUGCGGCGAUCUUCUGAUGACAAAUAGGCGGUCAGGACUGCCC
rnacentral:lncRNA from 1 species